rnacentral:lncRNA from 8 species
CCUUGGGAAGCUUGUAGAGGACAUCCUCUAGUGUCGGCAUGAUGUAGUGGGAUCGUUUCAAUGCUUGGUUCAGAUGCUUUGGGUCGAUGCAGACCCUCAGCUUCUCUGGUUUUUUCACUAUGACCAUAUUGCUGAUCCAGUCAGUUGGUUCGGUCACAGAUGUCAUGUAGCCAUCGGCCUCAUACUUGUCCAGCUGGGCCUUCACAGCCACUUUCAUUGCAAUGGGCACAUUGCGAGGAGCACACUGGACUGGAGUGAUGCUCUCAUCCACUUCAAAGUGUACCUCACCAGGCACUGAUUCAACGGGCAUGUUGAAUACAUCGUCAUAUCUGCUGAGUAGUUGUUCUUUGGACAGGGGUCCAUGCUGGACAUGAUCCACAAUGUGCAGGUCAUUUGGUACAGUGAACUGCAUCAGUCCCAGGCGUUCGCAUGUAGAGCCUGAGAGGAGAGGAUGUUGACUGGUUUUCACAAUCUCAAACUCCAGCUUGUGUUUGCGUCCCCGAAUAACACAUUCGGUCUCAAAGGUGCCCAUAGAGCUCAUUAGCUCUCCUGAGUACAGCUUUAGUCUAGUAUCGCUGGGCAAUAGAUGCGUGUCAGGUGCCAGAUUGAUUUUGUCUUUGUAGCUCAUUACGUUGCAUGUAGCACCGGAAUCCAGUUGACAUUGUUGUUGCUUGUUGUGUAAUCGUAGUGUCACAAACCAUUUCUUCCCUCUUGAGUGUACAGCCCCAAUGGAUUCAUGCAUGUAAAUGUCACUUUCACUGUUCAGCUCUGAACAUUGAGUGACAUCAUCAACACAGUGAAUCUUGCCCUCACUCACCCUUCUUUUGCUUUUGAGACACACUUUUGCAAAGUGAUUAUUAGUUCCACAAGCUCUGCAUGGUUUUCCAUAGGCAGGGCAGUGCUCUUUGCCACGUGUGUGCGUAUUCCCACAGUAUUUACAUGCCACUGGGCUCUCUGUGUUCACCGUUCGUGGUGAAUUACUCUGCCUUGAUUGGUUUUGCCUGAANNNNNNNNNNNNNNNNNNNNCCAGUGUUGCCAUCGUGGAGAGUGACCUGAUCCAGUCUGCUGCAGGCCUAGUGUCUCAGGAGCUGUCCAGCAGUGAUGCUAGAGUGAAGGAUCGUGAUGAUUCCACACUGAGAGACUCCAACCAACCUGAGGUCCAUGUGGCUGAUGUCUCAACCAAGACAAGUAGACUAGUCAUCACUAUUUCUAUGUUUUCAACCGAGAGUUGCAAUGCUUCGGUCCAUGAAGUUGAUGCUAUUGCUACCAGCCUGGAGCACUCUGCUGAGAAAAUGUCUACCUCUACCGCUGAUGGCCACAUUGUUUCAUCCACUGCUGUUGCCAAUCAGAAGAAAACAAGGGGUGGAUUCGUCUCAGCUCUUCGGAGAUUGUUAACAAGAAAGAACAGGAAGCCUGCUAAAGUGGCUUCCAAGAAGGAGCACAUUCACUUGGUUGACCGCCUCAAUGCUGAAGUCACCCACUGAGGACACUCACUCAUUGCUGAAAGCAUCCAGAAUGAUGCUUCUGUUUCUCCUCAGCGCCACCUACACCCCUGCCCCUCUCCCCCACACCAAACAAUAUCAGGGUUGGGGUGAAAUCCAGAUCAAUUCAGUCAAUUCAGGAAGUAAACUGAAAUUCCAAUUCCAAUUGUUUCUCAUAGGAGGCAAUGAGGUAAAUUUGAAUUGCUAUUGGAAUUUCAGUUUUACUGAAUUGACUGAAUUGAAAAUGAAUUGACCCCAACCCUGAUCCCUAAGCCCCCACCCCAUCCAUUUCUAUCUUCAGUAAAUUUUGUCGAAUUUUAUUUGAAUGUGUUUUGUAUCUUCAUUAAAACCACAAUACAUCUCUAAUGAGGGUCACUCAUGUUACACAUCNNNNNNNNNNNNNNNNNNNNUUUCUGGCGGGUUUGAAGUAAUUCUCCAAUGCAUCCAAUAUAGCCUUUGCAUCACACUGUUGUCGCGCUGUGAGGGUGAGAUUGUGCCGGUAGAUAUGCCUGCAUUCGCUGCCCAUUAAACUCCUCAGAGUUGCCGCUUGUACCUCGUUGGGUUUCUCAUGUAGACCGGUCGCCAGCGCAUAGUCCUCGAAUUCAUCCCUGAAAUUGUCCCAAUUAGUAUUCCAGUCCCCUGUGAGAACCAUGGGAUUAGGUGGCGGAAUGUUCGCUGCCAUAGCGAUGGAAUAGGAGACUUCUUUGCCUUCAGUCAUCGAGGUAGGUAGUGAUGCUAGCUAACCAGCUAACAACUAGUUGAUCAGUGUUGUGAGUAGGAAUCGGCGUGUGUUCGCAUUUGGAACGUAACCGCGCCUAUACUGUACUUAGCUACAAAAAUAACAAACGUAUGGUUUUCGAGCCACUUCUGAUACCAUGUUUCAGUAUGAUAUAUUGGAUAAAGUAAUAAAGACAGACACCAAUGUCUAGUUCAAUAGCCUUGUUCAUGCAUUGUACAAAUCCCUACACGCGGAGUCCGGGGAACAGUCCGGCUAGUCGAUUACCUAUCAACUAGACUCCGUAACACUUUUCAUUCAUCUUCCCUGAAGACAGACAUUGUUCCAUUAAGGACAACGAAGUCAAUUCAGGUAAGAACAAUAACAUACAUUUCCGUCUUUAAAUACAAAGAUUAAUUAAAUGUGUGAUUGUUAGUGGAAAGAAAAUAAAAAACGUUGAAGAUAUGGCUUUAGGCGUUUGUUGUUAGUUACCAAACAAUGUAACCGUGCAAAAUGAGAUUU